GUCGAGCGGUAGCACAAGAGAGCUUGCUCUCUGGGUGACGAGCGGCGGACGGGUGAGUAAUGUCUGGGAAACUGCCUGAUGGCGGGGGAUAACUAGUGGAAACGGUAGCUAAUACCGCAUAACGUCGCAAGACCAAAGUGGGGGACCUUCGGGCCUCACGCCAUCAGAUGUGCCCAGGUGGGAUUAGCUGGUAGGUGGGGUAACGGCUCACCUAGGCGACGAUCCCUAGCUGGUCUGAGAGGAUGACCAGCCACACUGGAACUGAGACACGGUCCAGACUCCUACGGGAGGCAGCAGUGGGGAAUAUUGCACAAUGGGCGCAAGCCUGAUGCAGCCAUGCCGCGUGUGUGAAGAAGGCCUUCGGGUUGUAAAGCACUUUCAGCGAGGAGGAAGGGUAAUGUGUUAAU
rnacentral:rRNA from 1 species